rnacentral:lncRNA from 1 species
AUGCCACAACACUCACACUUGGCAUCUUCAACUUCUGAAAUAGGAGGAAGCUUUUUAUUAUCAUGAUGAUCAUCAGAUAUUUCUAAUUCUUUGCUAAGGUCAAAUGAGAUAUCAGAUAUUGUUCUUUGUAGGUGAACUAUGGGAAGUUUUGGAGGUUUUCUAAUUCUUUGCUAAGUUCAAAUGAGAUAUCAGAUAUUGUUCUUUGUAGACCAUCCAUGGGAAGUUUUGGAGGUUUUUGAGUGACUUUUUUGUUAGUGUGAUUUGUCCCAACAGUAUUGUUUUCCAUGUUAGGUGCCAUAAAAGGAGAAAAUGAGGGUGUUUUGUUCUUGAUAAAGAUGAAUGUUUGGUUUUGCAAGCGUUGAGAUAGGGUUUUCUUGAAGAUGAGUUUAACUACCUACUAUCAGUAUAGAACAAUUGUAUCUUAAGCUUCCAAUUU